rnacentral:siRNA from 1 species
AGACUAAGGAAAGAAGGUGCCA